AACGAACGCUGGCGGCUGGCCUCAAACAUGCAAGUCUAGGGGGUGUAGCAAUACAUCACCGGCGGACGGGUGCGUAACGCGUGGGAAUAUACCUAUCGAUUCGGAACAACUGAGGGAAACUUCAGCUAAUACCGAAUACGUCCUAACGGAGAAAGAUUUAUCGUCGAUAGAUUAGCCCGCGUUCGAUUAGCUAGUUGGUGGGGUAACGGCCCACCAAGGCGACGAUCGAUAGCUGUUCUGAGAGGAAGAUCAGCCACACUGGGACUGAGACACGGCCCAGACUCCUACGGGAGGCAGCAGUUGGGAAUCUUGGACAAUGGGGGGAAACCCUGAUCCAGCCAUGCCGCGUGAGUGAUGAAGGCCUUCGGGUUGUAAACUCUUUCGCGCACGACGAUAAUGACGGUAGUGCGAGAAGAAGCUCCGGCUAACUUCGUGCCAGCAGCCGCGGU
rnacentral:rRNA from 1 species